UACGGGAGGCAGCAGGGGGGAAUUUUGGACAAUGGGCGCAAGCCUGAUCCAGCAAUGCCGCGUGCAGGAAGAAGGCCUUCGGGUUGUAAACUGCUUUUGUCAGGGAAGAAAUCUUCUGGGCUAAUACCCCGGGAGGAUGACGGUACCUGAAGAAUAAGCACCGGCUAACUACGUGCCAGCAGCCGCGGUAAUACGUAGGGUGCGAGCGUUAAUCGGAAUUACUGGGCGUAAAGCGUGCGCAGGCGGCUUUGCAAGACAGAUGUGAAAUCCCCGGGCUCAACCUGGGAACUGCAUUUGUGACUGCAAGGCUAGAGUACGGCAGAGGGGGAUGGAAUUCCCCGUGUAGCAGUGAAAUGCGUAGAUAUGCGGAGGAACACCAAUGGCGAAGGCAAUCCCCUGGGCCUGUACUGACGCUCAUGCACGAAAGCGUGGGGAGCAAACAGGAUUAGAUACCCUGGUAGUCCACGCCCUAAACGAUGUCAACUGGUUGUUGGACGGCUUGCUGUUCAGUAACGAAGCUAACGCGUGAAGUUGACCGCCUGGGGAGUACGGCCGC
rnacentral:rRNA from 1 species